rnacentral:lncRNA from 1 species
CCUAUCUCAAAACAAAACAAAAAACAAAAAACUCCUUCAGGACAGAGACUGUAGUCUGUAUUUAUUCUGUCUCUGCUGUCUGCUGCAGGGUGUGGCCAUGUCAAAAAAGCGAAAACAACAAUAUUUGUUACCACUGCUGGAUGAACAGGGCCAUCAAAAAUGGGAAACAUUUUGAAAACAUGUUGAAACCCAUUUAUCAGCCUUUUGACCACUGCAGAAAUAGUUUAAGAAAUCAAGAAUGUGAACAUUCCGGAAAGGUCAGAGGACUUCUUUGUACAUUCAUCCAUCCUCCAAGUGAAAGUCUGCGAAAUCGGACAGAAGUGUCCUCUCCCAGCGCUGAGGGUCACAAGAGCCAAAACCCUGCCAAGGACGGUUUCUUGAUGCUUGGCCAUAAAGAGGCUUCCCGAGCUACCCAGGCUAGAGCUACUCCAGACCCUGCCUGGAGCAGCUCUCAUCUCCCCUAAUAACAGUUAAGAAAUGCAGGCACAAAUGUGACUGUCAGCAGAUGGGGACUCAAGUAAUCUGUUACAUCGGGGAUCUGUCACAGUCCGGAGAAGACACGCACUGUGGCCAGCUCACUGUCAGCUCACAGGUAGGAAAGAAAAGGAAUGCUUUCUGCAACCUAAUUUCAUUAAGGAAAGAAAACAUCUCAUUGGAAUGGAGAUGAUCUCGUGCAAAUUAACAUACUCCGUUCUGCUCAGGCAAAUGACAGGGGUCCAAGAGUCAAGUCACAUCCUUAUUAAAUUUUCAAAAGCCCAGACAUUCCAGCCUUCACAAUACUCUGUCUCUCGUUCCAGCCGUUCAAUGCAGUCCACCUUGGCCUUCUUCUUCUAUCCCCAGAAUAA